GACAGAGGGUGCAAACGUUGUUCGGAAUUACUGGGCGUAAAGCGCGUGUAGGCGGCCCUGCAAGUCGGAUGUGAAAUCCCACGGCUCAACCGUGGAAGUGCAUUCGAAACUGCAGGGCUAGAGUCCUGGAGAGGAAGGUGGAAUGCUUGGUGUAGAGGUGAAAUUCGUAGAUAUCAGGAGGAAUACCGAUGGCGAAGGCAGGUCUCUGGGCUGACACUGACGCUCAUGCACGAAAGCGUGGGGAGCAAACAGG
rnacentral:rRNA from 1 species